rnacentral:misc_RNA from 1 species
GAUGAAGAACGCAGCGAAAUGCGAUAAGUAAUGUGAAUUGCAGAAUUCAGUGAAUCAUCGAAUCUUUGAACGCUCAUUGCGCCCCUUGGUAUUCCGGGGGGCAUGCCUGUUCGAGCGUCAUUUCAACCCUCAAGCUCUGCUUGGUAUUGGGCACCGUCCUUUGCGGGCGCGCCUCAAAGACCUCGGCGGUGGCGUCUUGCCUCAAGCGUAGUAGAAUACACCUCGCUUCGGAGCGUAAGGCGUCGCCCGCCGGACGAACCUUCUGAACUUUUCUCAAGGUUGACCUCGGAUCAGGUAGGGAUACCCGCUGAACUUAAGCAUAUCAAUAAGCGGAGGA